AUGAGCUCACAUUGGAUUGCCAAUCUGUGUGUGUCUCCACUGUCCCAGAAAAGACAACCUAAAUUGAUUGAAGGCUGCAAGUCUUCAGAAACUGCAUUGUGGAUAUGGUCAUUGAACUCAGCUGUCACUACCCUUAAGCCAAUGUGGCCAGCAGAGAUGUGCAUGUUGAUGGGGUGUGCUUCUAGGCUGGCUCUCUACAGGAAAUGUAAGAUGACACAUGUGGCUCAUAUUAAAAUUCUGUUGGAUGGCCCUGGACUAGAAAGAAUCAGAUUUGCAAGAGGCCCAAAUGGACCCUUUCAACAGAUUCAGCAAUGUUCACCAAGCAACUCUGUGUGCCUAGAGCUGUGUUAGCAUGGGAAGAAAGCAAGGCUCCUGCAAACAUAAAAGCUGAAGGUAAACCCCAAAGCUUCCUUUGUUUUCCCUUAAUCUGCUUCAGGCUCCCACUAGCUCAGUCCUAAUUGAGUUAGUCCUUGAGUGAAAGGGGGUUUAGAGACGUUAAACUGUUAUUUAAUCACAAGUGGCAGGUGGGGUGUGGGGCAAAGGGCAGGAGAAGAAGGGUCCGUGGGAACCCUGAGCUGAGGGGCGCCCUCCAUGCCCUUUCAUUAGUAUUUCAGCCAGGGUUUUCCAAACUGCUGACCAUAAGCUAUUAGGGGAUUGGGAAAUCAGUUUAGUGGAUUUCUACCAGAAUGUUAUAAAUGUGGGGGUGGCCUAGGGUGGAGAAAAGGAACAGAAGGCACUGCAUACAGUAAACAGAAGUGUUGUUUUGUGAAAUUUUUGAUUCAGGGGUAUGUGUGCUUGCCCACGUGCGCGCGCGCGCGUGUGUGUGUGUGUGUGUGUGUGUGUGUACACCAGGCUGUAGGUCACCAGCACCAAAGUAUGAAAGCUACUCUGAUGUAUCACACGCUUCUAGAAGUAGAAUCCCCAAUGUGUUUGGAUCUGGAGACAUGGUAACUCACAGGGAGUGGAGUACCCAUCAGGCGAACAGAGCUCUGCAAGAGGGCCGGGGAAAGGAUUUGGGGUUGGGGUAAGGGGCAGGCCAGAGGACUUGGAAAUAGGAGUUGUGGGCUG
rnacentral:lncRNA from 12 species